rnacentral:rRNA from 1 species
GCGAGCGGCGGAUGGGUGAGUAACACGUGGGGAACCUGCCCCAUAGUCUGGGAUACCACUUGGAAACAGGUGCUAAUACCGGAUAAGAAAGCAGAUCGCAUGAUCAGCUUUUAAAAGGCGGCGGUAAGCUGUCGCUAUGGGAUGGCCCCGCGGUGCAUUAGCUAGUUGGUAAGGUAAAGGCUUACCAAGGCGAUGAUGCAUAGCCGAGUUGAGAGACUGAUUGGCCACAUUGGGACUGAGACACGGCCCAAACUCCUACGGGAGGCAGCAGUAGGGAAUCUUCCACAAUGGACGCAAGUCUGAUGGAGCAACGCCGCGUGAGUGAAGAAGGUUUUCGGAUCGUAAAGCUCUGUUGUUGGUGAAGAAGGAUAGAGGUAGUAACUGGCCUUUAUCUGACGGUAAUCAACCAGAAAGUCACGGCUAACUACGUGCCAGCAGCCGCGGUAAUACGUAGGUGGCAAGCGUUGUCCGGAUUUAUUGGGCGUAAAGCGAGCGCAGGCGGAAGAAUAAGUCUGAUGUGAAAGCCCUCGGCUUAACCGAGGAACUGCAUCGGAAACUGUUUUUCUUGAGUGCAGAAGAGGAGAGUGGAACUCCAUGUGUAGCGGUGGAAUGCGUAGAUAUAUGGAAGAACACCAGUGGCGAAGGCGGCUCUCUGGUCUGCAACUGACGCUGAGGCUCGAAAGCAUGGGUAGCGAACAGGAUUAGAUACCCUGGUAGUCCAUGCCGUAAACGAUGAGUGCUAAGUGUUGGGAGGUUU